rnacentral:rRNA from 1 species
GACGAACGCUGGCGGCGUGCUUAACACAUGCAAGUCGAACGGGUCUGCCCUGUUUUUUGCGGGGUGGGUCAGUGGCGAACGGGUGAGUAACACGUGAGUAACCUGCCCCUCACUUCUGGAUAACCGCUUGAAAGGGUGGCUAAUACGGGGUGUUCUGGCUGUGCCGCAUGGUGUGGCUGGGAAAGAUUCACUUUUGUGGUGUUUUGGUGGGGGAUGGGCUCGCGGACUAUCAGCUUGUUGGUGGGGUGAUGGCCUGCCAAGGCUUUGAGGGGUAGCCGGCAUGGGAGGGUGGGCGGUACUAGUGGGACGGAGAGACGGCCCAGACUCCGGCGGGAGGCAGCAGGGGGGGGUAUUGCACAAUGGGCGGAAGCCUGAUGCAGCGACGUGGCGGGAGGGAUGGAGGCCUUCGGGUUGUGAACCUCUUUCGCCGGUGAAGAAGGUCCUGCUAUUUGUGGUGGGGUUGACGGUAGCCGGGUUAUGAAGCGCCGGCUAACUACGUG